UAGAGUUUGAUCAUGGCUCAGAUUGAAGCUGGCGGCAGGCCUAACACAUGCAAGUCGAGCGGAUGAAGGGAGCUUGCUCCCUGAUUCAGCGGCGGACGGGUGAGUAAUGCCUUGGAAUCUGCCUGGUAGUGGGGGGCAACGUCUCGAAAGGGACGCUAAUACCGCAUACGUCCCUACGGGAGAAAGCAGGGGACCUUCGGGCCUUGCGCUAUCAGAUGAGCCUAGUCGGAUUAGCUAGUUGGUGAGGUAAUGGCUCACCAAGGCGACGAUCCGUAACUGGUCUGAGAGGAUGAUCAGUCACACUGGAACUUGAGACACGGUCCAGACUCCUACGGAGGCAGCAGUGGGGAAUAUUGGACAAUGGGCGAAAGCCUGAUCCAGCCAUGCCGCGUGUGUGAAGAAGGUCUUCGGAUUGUAAAGCACUUUAAGUUGGGAGGAACGGUUGUAGAUUAAUACUCUGCAAUUUUGACGUUACCGACAGAAUAAGCACCGGCUAACUCUGUGCCAGCAGCCGCGGUAAAUACAGAGGGUGCAAGCGUUAAUCGGAAUUACUGGGCGUAAAGCGCGCGUAGUGGUUCGUUAAGUUGGAUGUGAAAUCCCCCGGGCUCAACCUGGGAACUGCAUCCAAAACUGGCGAGCUAGAGUAUGGUAGAGGGUGGUGGAAUUUCCUGUGUAGCGGUGAAAUGCGUAGAUAUAGGAAGGAACACCAGUGGCGAGGCGACCACCUGGACUGAUACUGACACUGAGGUGCGAAAGCGUGGGGAGCAAAACAGGAUUAGAUACCCUGGUAGUCCACGCCGUAAACGAUGUCAACUAGCCGUUGGGAGCCUUGAGCUCUUAGUGCGCAGCUAACGCAUUAAGUUGACCGCCUGGGGGGUACGGCCGCAAGGUUAAAACUCAAAUGAAUUGACGGGGGCCCGCACAAGCGGUGGAGCAUGUGGUUUAAUUCGAAGCAACGCGAAGAACCUUACCAGGCCUUGACAUCCAAUGAACUUUCCAGAGAUGGAUUGGUGCCUUCGGGAGCAUUGAGACAGGUGCUGCAUGGCUGUCGUCAGCUCGUGUCGUGAGAUGUUGGGUUAAGUCCCGUAACGAGCGCAACCCUUGUCCUUAGUUACCAGCACGUUAUGGUGGGCACUCUAAGGAGACUGCCGGUGACAAACCGGAGGAAGGUGGGGAUGACGUCAAGUCAUCAUGGCCCUUACGGCCUGGGCUACACACGUGCUACAAUGGUCGGUACAAAGGGUUGCCAAGCCGCGAGGUGGAGCUAAUCCCAUAAAACCGAUCGUAGUCCGGAUCGCAGUCUGCAACUCGACUGCGUGAAGUCGGAAUCGCUAGUAAUCGCGAAUCAGAAUGUCGCGGUGAAUACGUUCCCGGGCCUUGUACACACCGCCCGUCACACCAUGGGAGUGGGUUGCACCAGAAGUAGCUAGUCUAACCUUCGGGAGGACGGUUACCACGGUGUGAUUCAUGACUGGGGUGAAGUCGUAACAAGGUAGCCGUAGGGGAACCUGCGGAUGGAUCACCUCC
rnacentral:rRNA from 1 species